rnacentral:rRNA from 1 species
CAAUGCCGCGUGUGUGAAGAAGGCCUGCGGGUUGUAAAGCACUUUCAGUAGGGAAGAAAAACUCGGGGCUAAUACCUCCGGGCCUUGACGUUACCUAAAGAAGAAGCACCGGCUAACUCCGUGCCAGCAGCCGCGGUAAUACGGAGGGUGCGAGCGUUAAUCGGAAUUACUGGGCGUAAAGCGCACGUAGGCGGUCGGAUAAGUCGGAUGUGAAAGCCCUGGGCUUAACCUGGGAACUGCGUUUUGGAACUGAAAGACUAGAGUGUGUCAGAGGGAGGUGGAAUUCCACGUGUAGCAGUGAAAUGCGUAGAUAUGUGGAGGAACACCGAUGGCGAAGGCAGCCUCCUGGGAUAACACUGACGCUCAUGCACGAAAGCGUGGGGAGCAAACAGGAUUAGAUACCCUGGUAGUCCACGCCCUAAACGAUGUCAACUGGUUGUUGGGGAAGCAAUUCCUUAGUGACGAAGCUAACGCGAGAAGUUGACCGCCUGGGGAGUACGGUCGCAAGAUUA